GGUUAAGCGACUAAGCGUACACGGUGGAUGCCUAGGCAGUCAGAGGCGAUGAAGGGCGUGCUAAUCUGCGAAAAGCGUCGGUAAGCUGAUAUGAAGCGUUAUAACCGACGAUACCCGAAUGGGGAAACCCAGUGCAAUACGUUGCACUAUCGUUAGAUGAAUACAUAGUCUAACGAGGCGAACCGGGGGAACUGAAACAUCUAAGUACCCCGAGGAAAAGAAAUCAACCGAGAUUCCCCCAGUAGCGGCGAGCGAACGGGGAGGAGCCCAGAGUCUGAAUCAGUUUGUGUGUUAGUGGAAGCGUCUGGAAAGUCGCACGGUACAGGGUGAUAGUCCCGUACACCAAAAUGCACAGGCUGUGAACUCGAUGAGUAGGGCGGGACACGUGACAUCCUGUCUGAAUAUGGGGGGACCAUCCUCCAAGGCUAAAUACUCCUGACUGACCGAUAGUGAACCAGUACCGUGAGGGAAAGGCGAAAAGAACCCCGGCGAGGGGAGUGAAAUAGAACCUGAAACCGUGUACGUACAAGCAGUGGGAGCACCUUCGUGGUGUGACUGCGUACCUUUUGUAUAAUGGGUCAGCGACUUAUAUUUUGUAGCAAGGUUAACCGAAUAGGGGAGCCGUAGGGAAACCGAGUCUUAACUGGGCGUCUAGUUGCAAGGUAUAGACCCGAAACCCGGUGAUCUAGCCAUGGGCAGGUUGAAGGUUGGGUAACACUAACUGGAGGACCGAACCGACUAAUGUUGAAAAAUUAGCGGAUGACUUGUGGCUGGGGGUGAAAGGCCAAUCAAACCGGGAGAUAGCUGGUUCUCCCCGAAAGCUAUUUAGGUAGCGCCUCGUGAACUCAUCUUCGGGGGUAGAGCACUGUUUCGGCUAGGGGGCCAUCCCGGCUUACCAAACCGAUGCAAACUCCGAAUACCGAAGAAUGUUAUCACGGGAGACACACGGCGGGUGCUAACGUCCGUCGUGAAGAGGGAAACAACCCAGACCGCCAGCUAAGGUCCCAAAGUCAUGGUUAAGUGGGAAACGAUGUGGGAAGGCACAGACAGCCAGGAUGUUGGCUUAGAAGCAGCCAUCAUUUAAAGAAAGCGUAAUAGCUCACUGGUCGAGUCGGCCUGCGCGGAAGAUGUAACGGGGCUAAACCAUGCACCGAAGCUGCGGCAGCGACGUUUAGGCGUUGUUGGGUAGGGGAGCGUUCUGUAAGCCGUUGAAGGUGACCUGUGAGGGUUGCUGGAGGUAUCAGAAGUGCGAAUGCUGACAUAAGUAACGAUAAUGCGGGUGAAAAACCCGCACGCCGGAAGACCAAGGGUUCCUGUCCAACGUUAAUCGGGGCAGGGUGAGUCGACCCCUAAGGCGAGGCUGAAAAGCGUAGUCGAUGGGAAACAGGUUAAUAUUCCUGUACUUGGUGUUACUGCGAAGGGGGGACGGAGAAGGCUAGGCUGGCCGGGCGACGGUUGUCCCGGUUUAAGCGUGUAGGGGGAGUGACCAGGUAAAUCCGGUUGCUUAUCAACCCUGAGGCGUGAUGACGAUGCACCACGGUGCAGAAGCAGUUGAUGCCAUGCUUCCAGGAAAAGCCUCUAAGCAUCAGGUAACAUUAAAUCGUACCCCAAACCGACACAGGUGGUCAGGUAGAGAAUACUCAGGCGCUUGAGAGAACUCGGGUGAAGGAACUAGGCAAAAUGGUGCCGUAACUUCGGGAGAAGGCACGCUGGCGUUAGGUGAAAGGACUAGCUCCUGGAGCUGAAGCCAGUCGCAGAUACCAGCUGGCUGCAACUGUUUAAUAAAAACACAGCACUGUGCAAACACGAAAGUGGACGUAUACAGUGUGACGCCUGCCCGGUGCUGGAAGGUUAAUUGAUGGGGUCAGCCGCAAGGCGAAGCUCUUGAUCGAAGCCCCAGUAAACGGCGGCCGUAACUAUAACGGUCCUAAGGUAGCGAAAUUCCUUGUCGGGUAAGUUCCGACCUGCACGAAUGGCGUAAUGAUGGCCAGGCUGUCUCCACCCGAGACUCAGUGAAAUUGAACUCGCUGUGAAGAUGCAGUGUACCCGCGGCAAGACGGAAAGACCCCGUGAACCUUUACUAUAGCUUGACACUGAACAUUGAGCCUUGAUGUGUAGGAUAGGUGGGAGGCCUUGAAGUGUGGACGCCAGUCUGCAUGGAGCCAACCUUGAAAUACCACCCUUUAAUGUUUGAUGUUCUAACUCGGCCCCAUGAUCUGGGGUGAGGACAGUGUCUGGUGGGUAGUUUGACUGGGGCGGUCUCCUCCCAAAGAGUAACGGAGGAGCACGAAGGUUAGCUAAUCACGGUCGGACAUCGUGAGGUUAGUGCAAAGGCAUAAGCUAGCUUGACUGCGAGA
rnacentral:rRNA from 1 species